rnacentral:rRNA from 1 species
UACGUAGGGUGCAAGCGUUAAUCGGAAUUACUGGGCGUAAAGCGUGCGCAGGCGGUUCGCUAAGACCGAUGUGAAAUCCCCGGGCUUAACCUGGGAACUGCAUUGGUGACUGGUGGGCUAGAGUAUGGCAGAGGGGGGUAGAAUUCCACGUGUAGCAGUGAAAUGCGUAGAGAUGUGGAGGAAUACCGAUGGCGAAGGCAGCCCCCUGGGCCAAUACUGACGCUCAUGCACGAAAGCGUGGGGAGCAAACAGG